GCCGGGAUGGCGGAAUAGGUAGACGCAAGGGACUUAAAAUCCCCCGUCCAUUUAUGGACGUGCCGGUUCGAUUCCGGCUCCCGGUA
rnacentral:tRNA from 1 species